rnacentral:misc_RNA from 1 species
AAGUCGUAACAAGGUAACCGUAGGUGAACCUGCGGUUGGAUCAUUACCGAAUAAUUUUGUGGUUGAGAAGCUUUGAAAAAGGCAACUCCUACAAAGUCAACACUUUGUGCAAUUAUGAUGUUUUUUGGGUCUUUCAUUAUUGGGGGGCCCAGCAUUUUUAUUUUAACAAACCAUAUCAAUUUGACUUAUAUAUCUAUGAAAAUAGAAACAACUUUUGACAACGGAUCUCUUGGCUCUC